rnacentral:ncRNA from 12 species
AAGCGAUGAUAUCAAGGGGCGUGCCAAGAGCGUUGCUUGGUUGAGCUGGCGGGAGGGGUUGCACAGUGAAACCUCAACUUGGCGUAAGCAUUUUUGCCGAAAGAAAAUGUAAAUA